AUGAUGUCUUAGGAGAAGGAAAGGGGGACAUGGGGAAAUAUCCAUUCUGUGUAAUCCAGCACCAUGGGAUAGGGGACAGCAGUCCCCACUGGCCACAGUUUUACUUUCCAUGGUUUCAGUUACCUGUGGUAAACUGCAGUCUGAAAAUAUUAAAUGGUAAAUUCCAGAAAUAAAUCAUUCAUAAGUUUUAAAUUGUAUGCCCUUCUGAGUAGCAAGAUGAAACCUCCUGCUACCCUGCACCAUCCUGCUCCAUCCUGCCUGGGAUUCCCCACCAUCAACAUCUUCUGCUCCUGGCAUCAGAUCAUCAACAUCAUCAGGGCUCAAUGAUCCAGGAUCACCCAAAGCGGAUGAUCUGAUGUACGUCAGAAGGUCAACAGUAGCCUAAUUCUCCGUUGCCAUGCCUACGUGAUUUACCUGACUUCUUCUUGUCACAUAGGAAUUUUAUCAUAUCGUAUCAUCACAAGAAGAAGGCCUCAAAACAACGUGAAGGAGGCAUUAUUUUUCCCCGGGGAGUUGCGGGAAGAAAUUGAAAGAAAACUACUACGGAAAUAGUACGUGGAUGAGUGGGGUUAGAUCCUCCUGGUGCUGUAACAGCUCCAUUCAUCUGAGGCACCUUAAUGCACUGCCCUCCUUCCCCAGAAGACAGGGCAUUCGAGACCUCUAGGUGAUUUUAAUGCAUUCUAAAUUUUGAAAGCCACUAUCACACUGGCACUGGUCAAAGUUGUGAAUCUGAAGGAGAGGAAGAGAAUCAACCUAAAUCUGAUGAUUUGGGAACCAAAGAGAUUAAGUACUUCUAGUUAUCAAAACAGUACACGGAUUUACAGGAAGCUGGGAAACACUCCUUUUCGUAACUCCAUUCAUCUGAUACCCUGGAAAAAGUACGUUGAACCCCGCAGAAUGACCAUUUUCAUAGGUCAAAUGCAGCUGAGGACCAGAAGUUUCAGUUGGUUCAACCUAAGAAACAUUUUACAUAAACUUACAAAUAAGUAAGUAUAUAUUGACUAAGUUUUACGUAAAUGAAAAUAAUGUACAGGGUAAUGAAAACACUGGCGGCAUUACAGCCUGUCAUUGGUUUCUGGGCUGACUGGAUGAAAUUCUUCCUUUUUCAGAAUCUGAAUUUCAAAAACCAUUAGUGUACCUUAUGUAUAAAGGCACAAAAAGAAUAUAAAUCUCCAAAUAAUGGACAGAUCUCAUCCUCCUAAGACUGCAGGUAGAUUGGCUUCUAAACAUUUAAAUUCAUUUUGAUACAGAUCCCCCUGUUAAAAAUUAUAACCCCAUAGACAGGCUUCAGAAUACAUGGGAGCACACCCCUGCUUAAUAAAGGGCAUUUCUGGAUGUAGGUGGACUGCCCCCAUUCCCCCCACCCCAUCUUACAUAUUCCCUUCUUCUGUUAUGGCAAUUUACAUACAUAAAGCUAUCAAUUUAGUUAAUUAGGCUUUAAAACUGCUAUUUCAAUGAGGAUGAAACUUUUUUUUUCCUCUGAUAAAACGACACAAAUAAAUGAUUGCUGUUGUCAUAGACUGCCUAGCUGCUACUUUGCUCGAAAGCUUCAAAGUGUAACUUUGAUGUGAAAAGACUCUUAGUUAGGAAAUAUGCAUAUGAGAAAGGAUUCUGAAAAGGAAAGUUUUAACACAGCCUCAGAAAAAAAAAGAUAUAAAAAUACAGCCAGCCAGAACCUUAUCUCUAAUGGGUGGCAACUGAAGGAAUUCAAAAAAAUAAGAUUUUUCCCUCUGGAUCAAAAUGAUAGUAGUUAAAAAAAAUGUCUUUUUUUGUUCUCCAAUUUUCAGAUCCUUAUUGUCUCCAAAUACAGAGGUAUAGAAAAUGUUUUGAGUCUUUGUGGAUGUGGAGAGGGGUGUGAAUUAAAAAAGGAGAUGAAACCAUUGUUACAGAAGAUACUGUCAUGCUUAAGAGGGUCAAACUGGACUGAUGGAGUUUGCUUCUGGUUGAUAAUUGAUCAAUCAGGCAUGAAAGUAAAAUGUUUUAAGAUUUUAGAAGAAGGAAAAACAUUCCUUUAUGAUGGCUCUAACCCCCUGAUUCUUAAACCCCACAUUUGACACAAGAAACCAGGUCACAAAGCCCAGGUCUAGAAAGCCCCCAGGGGAGAGCAAUGAACUUGGCAGAGCUAGAAUCAAAAAGAUGUCUCAUCUUCAUUCACGUGUGUGUGCAACAAAUAUCCAUUUGGAGAUCUAAUGCUUUUUUUUUUUUUCCAAUUUUUCCUUAACCCAGUACUGUGACUUCAAUGAAUGACAAAUGAAUUGGUCUCCUUAAGAUUUAAAAAAAAAAAAAGUUAUUUCUAUUCUAUUCCUUUUUAAGGCAGUGGAUAAUUUAAAGCAAAAAGAAUGAAACUUUGAUGAUUGACUCAUUUCUCUUGCAGGAAGCCACUUCAACAAAGAUACUAACAGAGGAAUUAUUAUUAUUAUUUUUUUGUACCUGCACACUUUAGUCCUGAUGAAGACAGAAUUUGUCGUCAAGAGGCAGCCUUAGAUUUCUGCUGUGAAGCAGUGUCUGAUAAACACUGUCUACUGCCAACAGAAAAGCACAGCUAUUCUCUGAAAUGAAUAACUCUGCAUUCAAAAGAGGUUUUUGAGAGAAACUGGGCACUAAAACAGAUUAAGAUGAACUGAAGACACAGAAAACCAUUAUGCUCACAGAAUAAACAGUUUUAGUCGUUUAACAUUAUAAUAAAUGUGUCUGGCUGUGACGUGCGGCUUUCACCACUAAAAGGUCUCCUGUUACAUCUGCACAUGUCUCCACACUGGGCAACCGAUACGGACAGGACGGCCAGGGGUGACAGUCUCUCUGUCAACCCUGAAUUUGUGACUCUGAGGGUCGGACAAUGGCUCUAAACGUGCCUCUCUUCAAAAUGGGGAGGCAGUGAAUUCAGUGUUGCUGAGAAGUGUCAGGUUUACUGCUUUAAGGAUAGAAGUAAUCAAUUUAUCUGGAAGAUCAGGGAAACAGCAAGAGAUGCAGACUCCGCCCCAUCCCUGGCUCUGCCUUUGAUGGCCAGGGCUCUGGGUAACAAAGGUCUGUCAGCUUUUCUGCCGUACCCAAUCCUCGGGGAUCUGCGCUAAGGCUGAAGAUUCAGAGCCCCUUGCUGCCCUAUUGGAAAACGAAGUGUCUGCCGAUCCAGCAGUGAUGUGAGGGAGACAAUCACUUGCUGUCCCAGUGUUCAUUUAGUCUUUCAGAUAUAAAAAUUGCCUUCAAACCCAUGGUAAAGGGAAAAUGAGACCAACCAAAAAUACAUGUCUUUUGAUAAGCUGCUGACAAAGUGGAUUGGGGUGGUGGUUUAUUUACCUCGGAGACUGGCUUUGCAGAGCAUAAGACAUUUGCUACGUGACUGUGUAAUGCGCUGGGCAUUUACCUUCAGAAAGAAGUCUGGGAAAAUCAGGCAAUGGAAAGGAAAAGAGCUGGAAACUAUUGUUAACACUCAUAACUACAACUGGCCUACCCAGGAUUCAGGGAGCAACUUAAACUACUAGACUCUGUUAUUUGGGGGUUUCACAGAUAAACACAGGGACACAAAGAUGGGCCAAAAAUGCAGCAAAAAAUAAUUCUGGUUCUCUCUCUAUAAUAAGUGUCUUGAAAGUUCCUCUCAUAAGCCUCUAUUUCUCCCUCCAAUUAAUAAUCUGACCAUAAUUAUUAGAAAUCAUUCUUGCCAUGAGAAUUUGUUACUGAGCUGUGAAUUCAUCUCCUAUGGUUCAAAUGCAGCUUUUACAUCUUUUUGGUCUCCAAAAUAAUCAUGGUAUUUUCAGUCUGUUUGGAGCAAAUUAAUUUGGUUUCCAACUUCCAAUAGUAUCAGUGGAAGAAAGUAUACCUGUUUCAACAUAGUGAUUGAGUCUGAUAAGUCAAAAUCAACCAUCAAACAAAUAAAACCAAACAACAACAAUAAAAAACCUUCAAGAUAAUCAUAUUAAGGUUUUUUUUUCCCCCCAAACAAGUGGAAUGGAUAGGAUGCAAUGAUAAAAUAUUACCAGAGCAAAUGUGUAAUCCCUAAAGUGGGAAUAAAAGUGAAAUGCAUUAUUCACAAUUUGCAUAUAGACAUACAUAACCUAUGCACAGGGUUAAGACAGAAUUCUAAAGUGUGGAUUUUCUGAUGGGAAAAGUAAUGAUCUAUUAAGUCCUCAAGUGCUGGAAUCCACAAUCGUCAUGACAGGUAAUGCCGCUGCUAAGUGCUAUGUGGUUCAGGGCAGAAAGGUUUCUGGGGGCAGUGGAAUGGGUACCAUUUCAGGAGGAGAUGCGGGCCCCUGUCAAUAUUCAAGUCCAUUCACGCCAUCCAGCUCUGAUCUCUCCACCUCCCAGCAAUCUGGCUCCUGGUGGGUUUGUUCUCCAGAAUCUCACUGACGCUUCAGACCGCUUCCCUAAUGAAAUGUUUGUCAGUGGCUGCACAGGAGGUGCCCCCACCACCGAAUUUUGAUUUAACUUUUGCAGUCAAUGAGCCUCUAUGAUUUUUUUCCCUAGAGAGAAGAGGUUCAGUUGGUUCAUUUCUGGAGCUUAUCCCUGAUCUAGUGUAUCCAUCUAUCCAUAUAUUUAUGUAUCAAUUUAUCUAUCUGUCUAAGUUUUCCAAUAAAGGAUACACCUGUCUGUCUGA